UACAGGGGGUGCAAACGUUGCUCGGAAUUAUUGGGCGUAAAGCGCACGUAGGCGGCUUUGUAAGUUAGAGGUGAAAGCCCGGGGCUCAACUCCGGAACUGCCUUUAAGACUGCAUCGCUUGAAUCCAGGAGAGGUGAGUGGAAUUCCGAGUGUAGAGGUGAAAUUCGUAGAUAUUCGGAAGAACACCAGUGGCGAAGGCGGCUCACUGGACUGGUAUUGACGCUGAGGUGCGAAAGCGUGGGGAGCAAACAGG
rnacentral:rRNA from 1 species